rnacentral:rRNA from 1 species
GACGAACGCUGGCGGCGUGCUUAACACAUGCAAGUCGAACGGAAAGGCCCUGCUUUUGUGGGGUGCUCGAGUGGCGAACGGGUGAGUAACACGUGAGUAACCUGCCCUUGACUUUGGGAUAACUUCAGGAAACUGGGGCUAAUACCGGAUAGGAGCUCCUGCUGCAUGGUGGGGGUUGGAAAGUUUCGGCGGUUGGGUAUGGACUCGCGGCUUAUCAGCUUGUUGGUGGGGUAGUGGCUUACCAAGGCUUUGCCGGUUAGACGGCCUGGGAGGGUGACCGGCAACAUUGGGAAUGAGAUACGGCCCAGACUCUUACGGGAGGCAGCAGUGGGGAAUAUAGCACAGUGGGCGGAAGCAUGAUGCAGCAACGCCGAGUGCGGGAUGACGGCCUUCGGGUAGUAAACCGCUUUCGCAUGUGACGAAGCGUGAGGGAAGGUAAUGGGUAAAGAAGCACAGGCGAACUACGU